CCUACGGGAGGCAGCAGUGGGGGAUAUUGCACAAUGGGGGAAACCCUGAUGCAGCGACGCCGCGUGUGGGAAGACGGUCUUCUGGAUUGUAAACCACUGUCCCCAGGGACGAAAAUGACGGUACCUGGGGAGGAAGCUCCGGCUAACUACGUGCCAGCAGCCGCGGUAAUACGUAGGGAGCAAGCGUUGUCCGGAAUUACUGGGUGUAAAGGGAGCGUAGGCGGGGAUGCAAGUUGGGUGUCAAAACUACCGGCUCAACCGAUAGUCGCACUCAAAACUGCAGCUCUUGAGUGAAGUAGAGGCAGGCGGAAUUCCUAGUGUAGCGGUGAAAUGCGUAGAGAUCGGGAGGAACACCAGUGGCGAAGGCGGCCUGCUGGGCUCUAACUGACGCUGAGGCACGAAAGCGUGGGUAGCAAACAGGAUUAGAUACCCUUGUAGUC
rnacentral:rRNA from 1 species